UUCAAAAACUGUUUUUUUAGGACACGGCGUCGAACCCACGACGUCGUGGUCGUCGCGCGCGCAACUAACCAGUCUUCUACAAAGGGGGAAUCUGUCAAAAUGGGGGUUUUGCCGCAUAUGACCACGAAUCCGGGCGUCUCCCUGCUGGAGCAGUGGAACGCCAGCGAUGAUCCUGCCGGUGCAACUCUUGCACACGCACACGCAAGGGCUACUUCUGCCACUGCUUGCUACGCUUCAACUGCUGCUACUGCUUGCUUCACGGCAAGUGCUUGGCACAACGAGGAGAGGGCGGAAGGUGCGGAC
rnacentral:lncRNA from 1 species